AUUGAACGCUGGCGGCAUGCCUUACACAUGCAAGUCGAACGGUAACAGGUCUUCGGAUGCUGACGAGUGGCGAACGGGUGAGUAAUACAUCGGAACGUGCCUAGUAGUGGGGGAUAACUAGUCGAAAGAGUGGCUAAUACCGCAUGAGAUCUACGGAUGAAAGCAGGGGAUCGCAAGACCUUGCGCUACUAGAGCGGCCGAUGGCAGAUUAGGUAGUUGGUGGGAUAAAAGCUUACCAAGCCGACGAUCUGUAGCUGGUCUGAGAGGACGAUCAGCCACACUGGGACUGAGAAACGGCCCAGACUCCUACGGGAGGCAGCAGUGGGGAAUUUUGGACAAUGGGCGCAAGCCUGAUCCAGCAAUGCCGCGUGCAGGAUGAAGGCCUUCGGGUUGUAAACUGCUUUUGUACGGAACGAAAAGCCCUGGGUUAAUACCCUGGGGUCAUGACGGUACCGUAAGAAUAAGCACCGGCUAACUACGUGCCAGCAGCCGCCGUAA
rnacentral:rRNA from 1 species